rnacentral:lncRNA from 1 species
GUAUGGCUUGUGAUGAGCUGAUCCUAAAAAAAAAAUGGAAGUUACACGCUGUCUUUUGAGACAGCACAAGCUGCUUGUGUUUUAAAAAAUAAAUACGAGCUAGCUCGGCUCGAUAAGGUCACAGCCAAAAAAAGUUAGAACAAUUUUUACUCUAGCCGAGCCAAAAAUCUUAAAUUUCGACUUGACUGACUCGUAGGCAUCCCUACCUCGAAAUAAAAACAGGGCAUCGAAGGUUGCGGUCACCCAAUAGGGGGCUGGCCAUGUCAUCAAGGAACGAGUCCCAAACCUGAGAGUGAAAGGGAGGGUUUUAGAAGUUAGGUUGGAAGAGAGCAAAAAAAGUCAGGAAAGCACAAGUCGGUGGAAGCAGGAGAUCCUUGACAGAGGCGGAUUUCCGUGACUUGUGACUCUAUGGCCUAAUGAGCCCUUUACUGAAAGUAGAAGAUCGGCAGCAUUGGGAUUCUCAUCUAUAGCUUUAGCAACUAAUCCCUUCAACAAAGACCUAAGAGCUGAUGGCGAAUCCUUUCUCUCUUGGCUUGGGUGAAUAUUAGGAAGAAGUUGAAGUUUCUAUUAUUGAAGUGAUUCUCCAUCGAAUUCGGCGAAUAGUUCCCUUUUUCCACGUAAAAAAUACACAUAUAAUUGUUUUUAACAUAUUUUGAU